UAAUUUAUUAACUAACAACAAAAAGUAAGCCUUGAGAGUUGAGACCCAUCAAAUGGGUUUAAUAGAUGGAUUCGUCCCCAUUAAUUUCAGGAAACAGCCCCUACCGUCUCUCUCCCUUCCUUCUCCGGCGGACGUUGCCGGUUCUCGCUGCCUCCGGCGCGGCGAGGACGGUGCCUCUCCUCCCCCCUCCUUUCUAUCUUCUCUCUUUCCCCAAUUCCUCAAAUUAAAGAUACCUAGGGUUCUCUCUAAAUUUCCCCUUUCAAUUCCACUUCUCCGGUGAACUCUGCCGUCACUGCUGCUACCGCCUGAACAUCUCCAUGCCUCAGCCACCGCGGACCGCCCUGCCGCAGGCCACGCCGGCGGUCGCUACCAUCGAACGCGCCCCAUCGUUGUAGCUCGCGGCUAGUGCUGGUGCGCCCAAUCAGAUCUGCGGACGAAUCCAUGGCGGAGAAGAAAAUGGGAACUGCAUCGACAAUGGUGGAAGGAAUUGUUGAGAUUGACUGGUUAAUCGGUUAACCGGUUAAUCGAACCAAAAACUGGACCCACGCCUUCUUCUUCGCCAAGCUCGCCGGAAACACGUUGUUUCGACAGAGCCGCUGGCGGGGAAGCUUCGGAGGGGGACGGAGCACACGACGUUGAAGCAUCAUAACCACAGAGCUCAAGAUUGCCCACAAACGUAUUGGAGUCGAACUUGUGCGCGAGAUUUGGGAGAACUGCGCCGUCAGCGACGCCGCAAACAAGUUCGUCGUCGUCAGGUGCGACACCACGGGCUACGCCGAGGGGCGCCGCCUCAACGGCCGCAACUACAGAACGGGCUACACCGCCACGUGUGGCGGCGAGGACGAUGUCGAGAACAGGACCUGCGCCGGCUUAAGCUGCUGCCAGACCUCCAUCCCCAAGAACGUUCGCAGAGUUAGCAUAAAGAUGGGGAGCACCAACAAUUAUAGGGACUUGUGGAGGUUUAAUGAAUGUGGCUAUGCUUUUGUUGUUGAGGAGAGCUCGUUUGUCUUUUCUCUGCAAACACUGACGAGUUUGCGGCGAGUUGAGAGGCUUCCCAUGAUGGUUGAUUAGGCCAUCGGCAGCACAAGUUAUGCGGAGGUGAAAGCAAACUCUUUUUCCUUAAUGUUUGUGGUGAAUUGAUGUGUUUUCGGCGAGUUUCCUGCGAGCUUGGUGAAGAAGAAGGCAUGGAUCCCACCACCAAUGAAAUAAUAAUAAAAAAAAUUAAAUAGUUAAUGGUGUUAAAUGGUCGUUAAAUCGGAGGGGUUAAUGGAGGAAAUUAAGUACUUCAAGGGUUUAGUUGACCCGACCUCGAUCAUAGGGUGCUAGACAUGAUAAAGGUCUCUAUGUUAGGGGCGUAUUUGAUACUUAACCAUUUUGAAAAUAUUGUUGUGCUACCUCGAUAUUCCUCCAUUGUGCACACAACAAAAUUUAAGUCACAUUCCGAUAUAUUAGGAAUGAAUGCACGUAGGAUGCAUUUAUUCUACUUAAA